rnacentral:rRNA from 1 species
AGAUUGAACGCUAGCGGGAUGCUUUACACAUGCAAGUCGAACGGCAACGCGGACUUCGGUCUGGCGGCGAGUGGCGAACGGGUGAGUAAUAUAUCGGAACGUGCCCAGUAGCGGGGGAUAACUACGCGAAAGCGUGGCUAAUACCGCAUACGCCCUACGGGGGAAAGGGGGGAUUCUUCGGAACCUCUCACUAUUGGAGCGGCCGAUAUCGAUA